GGAAUAUUCCACAAUGGGGGGAACCCUGAUGGAGCGACGCCGCGUGAGUGAAGAAGGGCUUCGGCUCGUAAAGCUCUUUUCUGAAGGACGAAUGGUCUAUUGGAUAGGCAGAGACGGUACAUUGGGAAUAAGCCACGGCUAACUACGUGCCAGCAGCCGCGGUAAUACGUAGGUGGCAAGCGUUGUCCGGAAUUAUUGGGCGUAAAGGGAGCGCAGGCGGGGCGGUAAGUCCAAAUUAAAAGUGCAGGAGUAAUGUCUGUGAUGGUUUGGAAACUAUCGUUCUUGAGAGCAGGAGAGGCAAGCGGAAUUCCCGGUGUAGCGGUGAAAUGCGUAGAUAUUGGGAGGAACACCAGUGGCGAAGGCGGCUUGCUGGACUGAGUCUGACGCUGAGGCUCGAAAGCCAGGGUAGCGAACG
rnacentral:rRNA from 1 species